UGCAGGGUAAUGUAAUGGUAGCAUUCUGGUCUCCUUAACCGGAAACGGUGGUUCGAAUCCAUCCCCUGCAA
rnacentral:tRNA from 1 species